GCGGCGGACGGGUGAGUAACGCGUGGGUAAUCCACCUCGUAGUUCGGGAUAACAGGCCGAAAGGCUUGCUAAUACCGGAUGAGUUCAUGCUUAUGCAUAUAGGCAUGAAGAAAGGGCUAGCCCGCUAUGAGAUGAGCCCGCGUCCCAUUAGCUUGUUGGUGGGGUAAUGGCCUACCAAGGCAACGAUGGGUAGCCGGCCUGAGAGGGUGUACGGCCACACUGGGACUGAGACACGGCCCAGACUCCUACGGGGGGCAGCAGUAGGGAAUUUUCGGCAAUGGGCGAAAGCCUGACCGAGCGACGCCGCGUGAGGGACGAAGGCCUUCGGGUUGUAAACCUCUGUCUGGGGGGAUGAGAACGGACGGUACCCCCGGAGGAAGCCCCGGCUAACUACGUGCCAGCAGCCGCGGUAAUACGUAGGGGGCUAGCGUUGUCCGGAAUUACUGGGCGUAAAGGGCGUGUAGGCGGUCGUGCAAGUCGGUUGUGAAAGUCUAGG
rnacentral:rRNA from 1 species